UAAAGCCCAUUUAUGUCAUUUGAGUUGAAGCAAUGCCGAAAAAAGAUGCAUCAAGAAGAAAACAUAAACCGUCUCACUUUCGAGAAGCUCGUGCAAAUUGGUUGUCAACUCUGUUUCAUCAAGAUUCCUUAUGUCGCGUAAAAUGCUCAGAUGUUCUAAAAGUGUUGAGAAAUAAAUAUAAGAGUA